rnacentral:rRNA from 1 species
CUCAAGCGAUGGGGUGACGCAGGAAGGUAGCUGGGCCAGUCAGUGGUUGUACUGGUGUAAGAGUGUAGGCCGUGACAUAGGCAAAUCCGUGUCACAUUAAGGCUGAGACUUGAUGCAUACCCGUUGUGGGGAAUUCAGUGAUCCUAUGCUGCCGAGAAAAGCCUCUAGUGAGUUCAUACACGGCCCGUACCCCAAACCGACACAGGUGAUCAGGUAGAGAAUACCAAGGCGAUCGAGAGAACUGUGGUUAAGGAACUCGGCAAAAUGCCCCCGUAACUUCGGGAGAAGGGGGACCAUGCCCGGUGAACAUCUUCACGGUGGGAGCUGGGUGUGGUCGCAGAGACCAGAGAGAAGCGACUGUUUACUAAAAACACAGGUCCGUGCGAAGACGUAAGUCGAUGUAUACGGACUGACGCCUGCCCGGUGCUGGAAGGUUAAGAGGACCGGUUAGCCGUAAGGCGAAGCUGAGAAUUUAAGCCCCAGUAAACGGCGGUGGUAACUAUAACCAUCCUAAGGUAGCGAAAUUCCUUGUCGGGUAAGUUCCGACCUGCACGAAUGGCGUAACGACUUCUCUGCUGUCUCGACCACAGACUCGGCGAAAUUGCACUACGAGUAAAGAUGCUCGUUACGCGCGGCAGGACGAAAAGACCCCGGGACCUUUACUAUAGCUUGGUAUUGGCGUUCGAUUCGGUUUGUGUAGGAUAGGUGGGAGACUGUGAAGCAUGCACGCCAGUGUGUGUGGAGUCGUUGUUGAAAUACCACUCUGAUCGUAUUGGACGUCUAACCUCGGCCCAUGAUCUGGGUUAGGGACAGUGCCUGGUGGGUAGUUUAACUGGGGCGGUUGCCUCCUAAAGAGUAACGGAGGCGCCCAAAGGUUCCCUCAGCCUGGAUGGCAAUCAGGUGUUGAGUGCAAGUGCACAAGGGAGCUUGACUGUGAGACUGACACGUCGAGCAGGGACGAAAGUCGGGACUAGUGAUCCGGCACCGGCAAGUGGAAGCGGUGUCGCUCAACGGAUAAAAGGUACCCCGGGGAUAACAGGCUGAUCUUCCCCAAGAGUCCAUAUCGACGGGAUGGUUUGGCACCUCGAUGUCGGCUCGUCGCAUCCUGGGGCUGGAGUAGGUCCCAAGGGUUGGGCUGUUCGCCCAUUAAAGCGGCACGCGAGCUGGGUUUAGAACGUCGUGAGACAGUUCGGUCUCUAUCCGCCGCGCGCGCAAGAAACUUGAGGAAGGCUGUCCCUAGUACGAGAGGACCGGGACGGACGAACCUCUGGUGUGCCAGUUGUUCCACCAGGAGCAUGGCUGGUUAGCUACGUUCGGAAGGGAUAACCGCUGAAAGCAUCUAAGCGGGAAGCCUGUUCCAAGAUGAGGUUUCUCACCACCUUGCGUGGUUAAGGCCCCCUACAGACCAUGGGGUUGAUAGGCCGGAACUGGAAGCGCAGCAAUGCGUGGAGGUGACCGGUACUAAUAGGCCGAGGGCC